AUGCAGUCGAACGGUACAGGUCUUCGGAUGCUGACGAGUGGCGAACGGGUGAGUAAUACAUCGGAACGUGCCCGAUCGUGGGGGAUAACGGAGCGAAAGCUUUGCUAAUACCGCAUACGAUCUACGGAUGAAAGCAGGGGACCGCAAGGCCUUGCGCGGACGGAGCGGCCGAUGGCAGAUUAGGUAGUUGGUGGGAUAAAAGCUUACCAAGCCGACGAUCUGUAGCUGGUCUGAGAGGACGACCAGCCACACUGGGACUGAGACACGGCCCAGACUCCUACGGGAGGCAGCAGUGGGGAAUUUUGGACAAUGGGCGAAAGCCUGAUCCAGCCAUGCCGCGUGCAGGAUGAAGGCCUUCGGGUUGUAAACUGCUUUUGUACGGAACGAAAAGACUCCUUCUAAUAAAGGGGGUCCAUGACGGUACCGUAAGAAUAAGCACCGGCUAACUACGUGCCAGCAGCCGCGGUAAUACGUAGGGUGCAAGCGUUAAUCGGAAUUACUGGGCGUAAAGCGUGCGCAGGCGGUUAUAUAAGACAGAUGUGAAAUCCCCGGGCUCAACCUGGGAACUGCAUUUGUGACUGUAUAGCUAGAGUACGGUAGAGGGGGGAUGGAAUUCCGCGUGUAGCAGUGAAAUGCGUAGAUAUGCGGAGGAACACCGNAUGGCGAANGGCAUCCCCUGGACCUGUACUGACGCUCAUGCACG
rnacentral:rRNA from 1 species